rnacentral:tRNA from 2 species
GCGGAUGUAGUUCAAUGGUAGAACAUCAGCUUCCCAAGCUGAGAAUGCGGGUUCGAUUCCCGUCAUCCGCU